rnacentral:lncRNA from 1 species
GAACCUGAGCUUCUAAUUGGAAGAUUUUGGCAUCUUUAGCUUCCAGUUGUUGUUGCUACUGUUGCAAUUUCUCCUCUAAUUUUCCACUUCUUACUCCUGUUGAGGUAAAUAUCUGUGGCUGACCAAUAUUGACAAAAUCACUCUCCAAUUUUGUUACUAUUUCUUUCAAAACAACAAUUUUUGCUUGUAACUCAUCCAUUUUGUUUCGAUAUUAGUCAUCCAAUUGUUUCUUUUCAAGCUCCAAUGCCUCCUUCUUCUCUCGUUCUAUCUUCAACUGAGCAUUCAUCUUCUCCUUUUCCAAUCUAUAUGAUAUGCGAGAUUGUAGUAAUUCUUGCAAUUGACUUUUCAGGAUAUGCUGAAUCCUCUGUUUCUCCUUUGACUAGUUUUCCACUUUCUCAUCAAAUUCACGCUUCACUCAUAUCUUGGAUUUCGAUUCUACCUUGAUGAGUUAUUCCUG